UAUUAACUUUUGCCACAGAAAACACGAAGGGGCAAAACUAAACCCUAGUAGCUGUUUCUGUUUCCAAUUUUGUUCGGCUAUGGCGUCUGAAGGUCGAAAAGGCGGUAUUUCUCUACCUGACUGACAGACUAUCCAAUUCCAAUUUCUGGAUCAACAACAUAUCACGCUCCUCCGUCGUCUCCUAUAACAAGAAAGCCGCCUCCGACUCCUCCCAAAUCUCCACCGGUAAAGCUGCUUGGAUUACCGGAACCACAUUCCUUGUCCUCGUUGUUCCUCUCAUCAUCGAGAUGGACCGUGAACAGCAGCUCAACGAUCUUGAACUUCAGCAGGCUAGUAUCCUCGGUACUCCUCCCAACAAGUGAUAAUAGAUUUAUUUUUGUAUGCGGAGAUUUAUUGUUCAUUGAUUGAUAACUGUAUUGUUCUGUUUCUAGGGUUUCUCAUUGCAAUAAUUCUAUCAUCUGUUAUUAUUUUGAAAAUGGAUAAGAUUUAUAUUAUUGGUUAAACCAGUUUUAAGCCUUACAGAGCAUCAUAUUUCAUCUUCUACUGUUCUUCUGCACUGCACAUGGCAUCAUCUUCUGAGACUGCUACCUGUUAACUUGCUUUAAACCUAGCGUGUAAGAACUUCAAUUUUCAAUUUCGCUCCAACAACCUUGGUGUUCAACAAAAAACAAGGCAGGAAACUUCAGUUUUUUAUGCAGCAGCAGCAGCAAUGAGGAAUGCUUUGGAUUUGUUCACAACACCAGGGGAGUAAAACUAAUUAAACUUCCAGUUAUAUAUAGAUAUUACUAUGUUAUGAAUACUAAAAGCUUAAUUUUUAUUGGAAUUAUUUGUUAUUUGUUAUUUUAGUUUACUGUCAUGCAUUCCCUGAUGGAAUAAUGAUUUUAAAUUAUUUCAGUGCAAAAAUACAAUAUGUGAACGGGAUUUUCCAAGUACAUCUCAUUUUUAGUUUUCUUUUUGUCAUUUAUUUGUUUCUUUCAUUUAUCUCCCUACUACCACACUCAUACCUCUCUUGGUUAGGGUAUUCAAUUUUGAGUUGACUGAAGAGGAUAAUCCACAACAUCAUCGGUUAACAAUAUAUCAAAAUGUGGAAAGUACUUGCAUCAAGUUUGAUGGAUUUGGAUGUGAGCACUUACAUAAUAGCAAUGAUCUUUUUAGAAUUUAUUGGUUUAAUUCCUUGUAAUUGCAACUGUAGUAUUCUAAACUAGAUUGGUUAUGACAGGGCUGACAAAGUUUCAUGUUAUGACAAACUAGUACUGAACAUAACCAAUAGUACUCUGAGAUUAACUUCUGUAGAAUUACAACAGGAGGCCUACUAACAAUCCUCUGUGAUCCCAUAAUUUGGGAGCUGAUUGAUUGAAUUGUACAUGAAAUAACAAAACUUCCUUCCAGAUCAAA